rnacentral:lncRNA from 1 species
ACUGUCUUGUGUUCAGAGAAUCUGCAGCUCUGUGUGGUCUUUGAUCAGGAGUGCAGUGUGUCCUGCUCCCCUGGUCCCUCCCAGCCCCACCUCUGUGUCUACGAGUGGCUGGUGGUGCUGUGUCCUGUGGGUGCAGUGAGUCCCUGUCUUGUCCUUUACUCUCUUAUGGUUGGAUUUCGAGGCUUUUCAGCUUAAACAAGCAGAAGUGAUUUGUUUGAUUUUUUGUUUUGUCUUUAAUUCUUUUCUUCUAUACUAAUCCUUGAGAGGUGUGCAAAAUGGAAAGACAUGAGGGAGCCCUAAGCAAGUAAUGCAGUAAAAUCUUACUUGCAGAUGAGGUGACUGAGAUCUCUUCAUAGAAGGAGAUUUGCCCAGAUAAAAGGAUAUUUAAGCGAAACCCAGAGCCCAGACUUUGUUUUUCCAUUAUAGCCAGCUGCCAUGGGAUCUAAAGUCUCAGACCAGACUAAUCCUAGGACAUGUAUUAAUUAAUUAAUUAAACAUUUUUGGACAUGUAUUUUAUUUAUUUAUUUAUUUAUUUGGACAUGUUUUAAUUUUAAAAUAAAGCCUCCCUUUAUUUUACUGCACUUAGUAUACGUGGAGGACUCAUCACCCUGAAAACGGGCAUAAGCUGAAGGUUUAAAGAAAUCCACCUUUUUGAUUCAGGAAUAAUUUUGGAGGUUGUUUUUUUAUCUUGGGAGUAUAUUUGUACUGAUAACCUUUGAAGCUGAAUUCAUUGAAAAGCAGUUGUCAUCUUUUCCCACCAAACAUCACUUGAUGUUCUGCCCCGACCUCUUUUGACUGAGACCAUUUGGUGAGUGUACUCCGAUUGUCCUGGUAUUUCAAUGAAGUGGCCAAAAAACAGAAGUUGGACCAGAUUUUUAAAAUGAUGCCCAUGGCCUGCCUCUAGGAAAUGUAUGAUGGUCUAAUUGGAAGAGUAAACAUAUAAUUUACCCUCUGCUUCCAGAGUAGCCCUUGUAGAGAAACUUAAUGUCUGACUGAGAGUAGAAUUGUUCAGAAUAUGUAGGUGAUGGUGAUUUGAUUGCUCCAAGCUCCCUGCUCCUUAGCGAGAAAGUUCAGGUUUCCCACUGUAGUUUUGUAUUUAAAACUCUUUACUUGAGGAAAGAGAGAUCAAGCACUUAGGAUCUGCUUGCUUGAGAAAUCUAGACUGGGAAUUUUGUUUUGUUUUCUUUUUGUUUUACUUUUUAGGGCCACACCCGUGGCUUAUGGAGGUUCCCAGGCUAGGGAUUGAAUUGGAGCUGCCACUACUGGCUUACACCACAGCCACAGCCACAGCCACACGAGAUCCAAGCUGCGUCUGCAACCUACGCCACAGCUCACGGCAAGGCCGGAUCCUUAACCCACUGAACAAGGCCGGGGAUUGAACCCAUAUCCUCAUGGAUACCAGUCGGGUUCCUUACUGUUGAGCCACAACAGGAACUCCCUAGUUUGGGAAUCUUUAACCUCCAUGGAAGUGUCCAGUUUCUGUCCCUGAAGUUCAGAAUUGGUUCAUAAGAUCUGGUGGGAGGGGAGUGGCAGCCAUGCUUAAUUUGGUGUUGGGCCAGCAGGGAACUGAGGUUGGGCAGGAGUGAGCCUCUUUGCCUGUUGAAUUAGGAGGAGCCCAUGUGAACGAAUGGUUUGGGGAACUUAGAGGACUGGGCUUUGGGGAAUUGAGCCUGGAGGGAAAGUGGGAGAUCUUAGCCGUGAUGAGCCUGCAGAUGGUAACAGGUACUCAACUAGAGGGACUUGGAGGCAUUUAACCUGCAGAAGCUGCCAUUUUCAGGAAGGGAGGUGGAACUAGGUAAUCAGGAUACACAGACUCUUGUGUGGAAUUAUUUUCCAAGUCACCUCUUUGGUUUUAUUUUCCUCUAUUGCUUUGAUGGUAAUCAAGUAUUUCGUCCUCACCUCUAAUAAGAAUUGGUUCUGAAGUGACAUGCCUGGUAUGUUGGUUAAGGAAGUGGUGGCAUACCUCUCCCAAAUUCCCAUUGUCUCCUCUGUCAGAUCCCAGGGGGUGUGGUCCUGAACUUCAGCCAGUUGGCUCGGGAUGCCAGGGCUCAAGUGCCAUCUAGUGGCUCAAUGGAGGAGUUGCUUUUAACUGAGGGACCAACAACUGGGUUAAGACUUGUGACCUUCAAAUCUAAGAAACAGAACAUGUUCACUCUAAGGUGUCAUCACUAUUACUUACUCCUUUGUCCAUCUUUAUUUUGAACUAGAUGAAUUCCAAAAUAAUUCUAGGUCCUAAAAUCCCUAGCAGAUAAUGAGGGAAUAAUAGCAAUGAUUUUGCUUGAUUAAAAAAAAAACACAGCAAAUAUGUACAAGGAAAAACCUAAACAAAACCAGUGCUCUCUGUGGAAGUGGGUUUAUUGACCUGAGACUUAAGUCUCCGUCAAUAGACUGAGAUGUUAAUGCCUCAGCCUCCAGCCCUAGUGGUAGCUCCCGGAGUGUGGAGGAGGCAUUGAAGGCAUCUCUCUAAUUAUACCUGCAGCAUGGCUAUAAAGCACCACAAAGAUUGUGGAGAUAAUUCCUAAGAUCAGGGUACACGUGUGGCCUUUUCCCAAGUGGUCCCCUAGGAAGCCAUGCACUUAUGCCAACAUUGCUGCCACUGCUUCAUCGAAGGAAGGUUUUUGGAACUGCUAAUUGGGAUUGCUUUGAAAGCCCCGGUGGUGCUUGGGAAAGACUGACCUGGAGGCAGUUCCUGCAGUAGGGCUGGAAAGGAGAGAGGCAAAAAAGGAAGACUGGUGGGAAGUGUUGCAGGAAUCUUAGAGCAGAUGAUGAGGUGUGCGCAAUGGAGGCAGAAGAUGGUAGAUUCAGGAAUCUUUCUGGGGAUUUCCUGUUGUGGCUCAGUGGUAAUGAACCUGACUAGUAUCCAUGAGGAUGUUGGUUUGAUAAUUGGCCUCACUCAUUGGGUUAAGGAUCUGGGAUUGCUGUGAGCUGUGGUGUAUGUAGGUCGCAGAUGUGGCUUGGAUCUGAUGUUGCUGUUGCUGUGGUUUGGUUGGCACCUGCAGCUCCAAUUCGACCCCUGGCCUGGGAACCUCCAUAUGCCAUGUGUGUGGCCUUAAAAAG